UCGUCAAUCGUAUUGAUAAUUCGACUGUGUCUAUCGAGAAGAAAGUUGGAAGCAUUCAUCUGUGCAUCAUGAAGUACCUCGCAGUUUUGGUGCUUCUUGCGAUGCUGAUUGCUGCUGUCGCUGUACAAGGCUGCAUACAAUCUGGAUAUCCGUGCAUCACACAUAAACCUGAUUGUUGUGGAGUCCUACAGUGUCGUGCAGGGCGAUGUGCUGAGUAAAGGCGCAUUCAAACGGAAGAGCCACGAGUCUUUGCUCCAGAAUAAGACGACGAAUAUGAAUUUUGUAUGUAGCAAGUUCAACAUAUUAGAAGACCAUGUUCUGGGCACCUUGUGUCUUGUUAACGACCCAAAAAUAGCAUGCCUUCUGCGAAAACGCUGGGGACUCUGCUCUCAUAUAAAGACGAUCCCUUUUGGCGCUCAACACUCGUGGUGAAAUUCAUUGACUGUGAUUAUCGAAAAGACAGUCCGACAAUUCAUCUGCGCAUUAUGAAGUAUCUUCUUAUUUUGAUGUUCCUUGUGAUGCUGAUUUCGGCUCCAAAAAAUAUUUCAGUCCCGGGACCGGGAUAUUAUUUUAUUUUUUUUUAUUGUUAAUUCAUAUUGAGAAUA